rnacentral:rRNA from 1 species
CGCACAUCGAGUUGCCCCACCCCUCUGUGACUCAAACGUAACGAGGCGGCGGGAGCGGAGAAUGGCCCCCUGUGCCCCCGUGCGCGGCCCACCUAAACAAAGGCCCCCAGGAGGUCGACGUCACGAUCCGUGGUGGUUGUAAGAGACAUGCCCUCGGAACCGAAUCAUGUGCAUGCCACGCCUAGCCCAGGGCCACAACGACCCCCGAGGCCGUCCCCGGACGGCACCCACUCU